rnacentral:lncRNA from 1 species
CCCCUGGAUCCCAUCCCACCCUACCCCUCAGAGCCUCGGCAGGCACUCGCAGCUCAGUGCAAAGUCUCAGUAAACAUUUAUUCGAAGCUUUGCCACAAUACCUUAAGUUGAUUUGUGAAACUGGUCUACAAAUACUGAACUACGGAGUACAUGGUUUGGAUGGUCCGAUAAAGGAAUAAAUAAAGGCAUGUAAAGCUCUGUAAAAAAUAAGUCUGGUACAGUUGUAACUACUAACAGUAUUACCAGUAGGAUCUCGUAUGUGUCUAGGAUCAGAAGUGAACACACGGCAUCUCUUCAGACCAAAUCGUUUUUACAUAAACAAUUGUACAAACUGAAACACUGUAAUCAUGAAACCUGAUGUACAAAACAGGAUGUGAAAUCACUACCAUCAGUGCCAACAACAAGUGCUACCACAGCAAAUAGAACUUCUGAAUAAAAGGAAAAGAUCGGUUUUUACAUGUGCUGUCAUCACAGGUCGAUGGAAUUAUCCAAAAAGUUUAAAAUACAUGCGGAUACAAUAAAACCUUUUAUUUUCCAACCCAGACAAAGAGAACUCAUGGUCACUUAACACCAUUAGCUGCCAAAUACGGAUCAGUAUGUGAGGCAAACCACACUUAAACACUUCUACACCACCGAAGAGCUAAGGUUGAUACUGGUCUAUCCACAGCGACGAUGCAACGAGCCUCGAGAAGCAAAGCACGACGUGAAGGACGCGCUAGAAGCGCAGCACUGAGCCACACCAGGUUUGUACACUGCACUCUGACACCCAAAAACCACUGGGAAAGCGUCACAUCCCACAGGACACAUCGGGUAUCUACAGCGGUGUGCGUCCGGAGGAGCCGCCCUGCCUGAGGGGAAAACUGCAGGAUUGCAAAGGCUGGGUCCUAAAGGACGCAGGUGAAAAUCCUCCAGAGAGGGAAGAGAACUGCAGGAUUGCAAAUGUUGGGUCCCAGAGCAGGCAGAUGAAAACCCUCCAGGGAGGGAAGAGAACUGAAGGAUUCCAAAAGCUGGGUCCUAAAGCAGGCAAGCAAAAACCUUCAGGAACGGGAAGAACCCUGCAGGAUUGCAAAGCUGGGUCCCAGAGGAGGCAGCUGAAAACAUCCAGGAAUGGGAAGAACCCUGCAGGAUUGCAAAGCUGGGUCCCAGAGCAGGCAGGUGAAAGCCCUGGAACCUCGUGGAGUUCCCAAUCCCAGCAGCCAGAGCCCUUCCUUGGCACUUGUGCCCACUGCUCACACAGGGAUGGGCUCUCCAGUGGCCACAGGAAGGUCCAGGAGCAGGUCCAGGUCCUGUCCUGCAGGAGCAGCCAGCUGGGGCUGUCCCUGUGUCACCUGUGCCCCAGCAGCAGCUCCCAGCAGGGCACCACGGGCACGGCUGUGGCAGAGCUCCGUGAAGUCACAGCAAAAUGCCAAAGCCACCAGGGUUGUCCCAUGCCAUCCCUGCCCUGGGCAGGUGUCACUGCUGAGGGCUCCUCCAGUGCCACCCCUGCAGGUGUCACUGCUAAGGGAUGUCCCAGUGCCACCCUGCAGGUGUCACCUGCCAGGGUUUGUCCACAGGUGACACAGAGCCCUGCCUGUCUCUGA